rnacentral:rRNA from 1 species
CCUGGCUCAGGACGAACGCUGGCGGCGUGCUUAACACAUGCAAGUCGAGGGCACUCUGGGGGCAACCCCGGGGUGACCGGCGAACGGGUGCGUAACACGUGAGUGACCUGCCUGGAAGCGGGGGAUAGCCGGCCCAACGGCCGGGUAAUACCGCAUACGUUCUUUCGGGGGCAUCCCCGGGAGAAGAAACCUCCGGGGCUUUCAGAGGGGCUCGCGGCCUAUCAGCUGGUUGGCGGGGUAACGGCCCACCAAGGCGAUGACGGGUAGCUGGUCUGAGAGGAUGGCCAGCCACAUUGGGACUGAGAGGCGGCCCAGACUCCUACGGGAGGCAGCAGUGGGGAAUCUUGCGCAAUGGCCGCAAGGCUGACGCAGCGACGCCGCGUGUGGGAGGACGCCCUUCGGGGUGUAAACCACUGUUGCCCGGGACGAACGGGCGGGUUCGCCCGCCGUGACGGUACCGGGUGAGGAAGCACCGGCUAACUCCGUGCCAGCAGCCGCGGUAAUACGGAGGGUGCGAGCGUUGUCCGGAAUCACUGGGCGUAAAGGGCGCGUAGGCGCCCCGUAAGCGGGCGGUGAAAGCCCGGGGCUCAACCCCGGGUCGGCCGUGCGGACUGCGGGGCUGGAGCACUGUAAGGCGGGUGGAAUUCCGGGUGUACGGUGGAAUGCGUAAGAUCCGGAAGACACCGGUGCGAAAGGCGGCCGCUUGGGCAGUGGCUUGACGCUAGCGCGACAGCGUGGGGAGCAAAACCAGGAUUAAAUNCCCCUGGUAUUCACACCCGUUAAACAAUUGGCAACUAUGGUUCCUUGGGGGAACGAAACCCCGGGUNCCGGCGCCUAACGCAUUAAGUGCCCCGCCUGGGGAGUACGGCCGCAAGGCUGAAACUCAAAGGAAUUGACGGGGGCCCGCACAAGCGGUGGAGCAUGUGGUUUAAUUCGACGCAACGCGAAGAACCUUACCUGGGCUUGACAUGCGCGGGAAAGCCCCCAGAGACGGGGGCCCCUCUUCGGAGUCCGCGCACAGGUGCUGCAUGGCUGUCGUCAGCUCGUGUCGUGAGAUGUUGGGUUAAGUCCCGCAACGAGCGCAACCCCCGCCCCUAGUUACCAGCGGAGCGAGCCUAAUAAGCUCAAGCCGGGGACUCUAGGGGGACUGCCGGUGCCAAACCGGAGGAAGGUGGGGACGACGUCAAGUCAUCAUGGUCCUUACGUCCAGGGCUACACACGUGCUACAAUGGGCGGGACAGCGGGCCGCGAGCGCGCGAGCGUGAGCCAAUCCCCAAACCCGCCCUCAGUUCGGAUUGGAGUCUGCAACCCGACUCCAUGAAGCUGGAAUCGCUAGUAAUCGUGGAUCAGCGACGCCACGGUGAAUACGUUCCCGGGCCUUGUACACACCGCCCGUCACGCCAUGGAAGCUGCGAGCGCCCGAAGUCGGUGCCGGAACCGUCUCACGACGGGCCAAGCCGCCGAAGGCGAGCGCAGUGACUGGGGCGAAGUCGUAACAAGGUAGCCGUAGGGGAACCUGCGGCUGGAUCACCUCC